rnacentral:SRP_RNA from 1 species
GAGCCGGUCUCGCGCAAUGGAUGCCCGCGAAUCAUGUCAGGCGGGGAACCGAGCAGCAUUAAGCGGGACGUUCCAUGUGCCGCGAGGGUGCCGGCUCCGC